rnacentral:lncRNA from 1 species
UGCUUUGAGGAAGAUCUUGCUGAUAAACCUUGCCAUACAGGAAAACAACAUUUAGGUACCUAUUAGCAAGUGUGUGCUGCUCUCUCCCAAUUUGCUGUCAGUCCGGAACAGGUGGCCAAGAAAGGGCUCAUAGGAGUGCAAUAGGAAGUGCACGCAACUGAAUGUGCCUUCUGUCCCUCUAGGUGCAGUGCUCAUGUGCACUGCAUGGAUUGCACAGAUCAGGAAAAUCAAGGACAAGCCCCUUUGGAAGUCAUGCAGGCAGAGGACAGCACAGAUGGAGUAUUAGCAGCAACAUCUGCCCCUCUCGGUCUCCCCAACACAGAUGGAGUAGCAGGGGCAACCUCUGCCAUACUCGGUCUCUCCAAAGCUGAUGGAGCAGCAGUGGCAACUUCAACCCAGAUCAAUCACUUCAACGUGGGUGGAGUAGCAGAGGCAACUUCUGCCCUGCUUCAUCUCUCUCACACAGAUGAACUAGAAGUGGAAGUUUAUGCCUCAUUCGAUAACACCUACACAGAUGGAAUAGCAGUGGCAUCUUCUGCACAGACCAAUCUCUCCAAUAGAGAUGAAGAAGCAGUAGCAACUUCUGCACUGAUCAACCUCUCCAACACAGAUGGAAUAGCAACGACAAUUACUGCCCUACUCCAUCCCUCCAACACAGAUGGAGUAACAUGGGCAACUUCUGCCCCAUGCGAUCUCUCCAACACAGAUGGAGUACCAGGGACAACUUCUGCCCUGCUCAGUCACUCCAACACAGAUGGAGUAGCAGCAGCAACUUCUACCCUGCUCAAUCUCUCCAACAUAGAUGCAGAAGCAGUGGCAAAUUCUGGCCCGUUCUGUCCUCCAACACAGCUGGAGAAGCAGUGGCAACCUCUGCCCCAUUGAUCUGACCGAAACCUUUGAAAGUCACUCAAGCUCAGCAAAUGAUGUGCAGGGAUUUAAGAGACAACUUGAGCAACGGUCCUCCUGGGUAGAAAACCCCUUCUGGUUGCCACACUUUUCUUCUUUGUAGAACUGCAUAAUCUUUGCUUCUCAAUAAAGUUCCUCCAUCUCACCA